rnacentral:piRNA from 1 species
UUGAAAAUGCUCUUCUCCAGCCUCCUGG